AUGUUUAAGCUUUAUUUAUUCAAUUGAUUAAGUAUAUUGAACAGAUUUGACUGGUUUCCAAUCUACUCAAUAUUUUUAAGUGUAAAAGUGUUGCCUCAAACAUUUUAAGUAAAUGUCAGUUUUAGUUUUUGGAGUGCGCAUCCACAUUUUUAUCGAUAUCUGCAGGUCAGGCAUUACAUCCAAUCACAGUUUAAAGACUUGCAACUCUUCUGUCGGAGCAUGGCCUCUAUGAAAUACUCAAGAGCCAACCUGAUUCCAGGUAAAAACUGUACACUUUCUUGGUGAUUCUAUGGUGGUGUAUACUGCUGGGAUUAGGCAGGCUUGGGAGAAAGAGUUGGGGAGGAAGGUGCCUGAAUGUAUGUGGAGUAAGUGUUUGUCUAAAAUCCAUUCUUGCUCUAUAAACAGCAGUUAAUUCAAUUUAAAACCCUCCACCGGUUACACUAUUCUAAGGUCAGACUGCACAAGAUUUAUCCUUUAUCUUCCCAAUGUGUGACAGGUGCAGAUUGGCAGAAGCUACGUUGUUCCAUGCCUUUUGGUCUUGUCCCUCAUUAACAGACGUUGGUCUAAGAUAUUUGACUGGUCUUCCGAGGGAUAAAUGAAGGCCCUACAGCGUGAACCUGAACUUGUAAUUUUUGGAUGUUCUCAGACAUCAGAGCUACUCCCGGUUACAGUGCAGUGGCCGUUAGAAUUAGGUUUGAUUGCCGCCAACAGGCUAAUCCUGAGGGGAUGGAAGUCGCCCACUCCUCCUUCCUUUCAGUUAAGGGUAACAGAUAUGAUGUCCAUAAUGCAAAUGGAAAAGUUCAGCAAAGACUCAAAGGAUUCUCCUCUGAAUGUGUGGAACCUCUUCUUGGAACAAUUUGCGAAGGCCAGAUUUGUAAACUCUCAUCGACUCCAGCAUUUGGUAUUCUACCCUGUGGUGUUUUGUGAAGUGCAUGUUUGUCAUGGUCUGGGUGGGUACCUGCAGGUCUCCAACAGCGGCCCCUCCUCCUUAGGCGGAGUUCGGUUGCUCCUCCCUGGCUGACCACCUGUGAGCAAUUAUUCCGGCAGUAUAUCAGACCUGCGCUCUCAACCAUUCAUCGCCUGAGUAUCUGCUAUCCCCAUAGGUAGCACCUGGAGUGGAGGUCUUGUCUCCCUCACUCCCGCCUUCCUGGACCUGGGCCGCUUGCUGCUGAUACGACGUGGCCUGCCGGCCCACCACUCACUUGCCUGCCUCCCCACGUCUCGACCGCUUCCGGGCCUUCCGCCCCACCUGUCCCCUCCACCUGAAACCAAUGCCCCGGCCCCUACCUAGUCCUGUUUCCACCUCCCCGCUGCCUCUGCUGUUCAGCCGUCUCCUAGAGGUGUCUAGGUCACCCUCCGUUAUCUUAGAUUAUCCUACGCGCCACUAGUGUGGUGGCGUCGUUUUGUUUUUUUGCUUGUGUUUGCCUGUGGGCGGAAAUAAAUCCUUUGUUCCCUUAUCGUCUCACUUCCGGGUUGGUUUCUGCACCUGUGUCCAUCUCUGUUCCCUCGUGCCGCUGGGCCGUGACAAUGUUUAUUUGAAUGAAUUGUUUUUCCUGUAAUGCAUCUGAGCCUGUUUGUUUUUGUUUUAUAUUUUGAUCAUCUAAAAUAAAAUGAUCAAAAAAAGAACACAACACUUUGUGGUGUUGCACACAUCUUGUUCACAGUUUGCCGACUAUCCUGCUUUGUUUCUGUCAGAGAACUGAAGCCAAGUGGCCUCAUUUUAUUUACUGAUCUUUUGUUUUUUGUUUUUUGAAAUUGUACUUUUACAAUGACCAAUAUUGUUUUAUCAUUGAAGCCUACAAAGGGUAACUGUCAUGGUCCUGGGUCAUUUUGACCCAGCGGUUUAAGUUCCUUGUGUUUUCUGUCAUAUUUUGCAUUAUGUUGAGGACUCCAGGUUUCCUAGGUUGUUCUGUACAGUGUUGUUUAUUAGAUGUUCUCCCUGUGUUGUUGCCUUCUGUGUCUCCCACUGCGUGACUGUCUAUAUAGUGAUGUGAGUUACUGUGCUUUGCUCCCACUCCUUGUGUUCCAUGAUUUCCUCUUCCCUUCAUGUUCUCCCUCUCUCUCUCCAGGCUGUCUCACUGCACUUCCUGCAGUUGUGUGUCCUCCCCGUGCUGUCAAGUGUAAUUGUCCUCAGCUGUGUUCCUUGUGUGCUUCCACUUCCUCAUUACCUGCUGUGUAUUUAUGUCAGAGUCUCCCUCUGCUCCAUGUCGCAUCGUCCCUCAUGCUGUGUGUUUCUUUGUUAAGGUUAGUUUAUAUUUUCCAGUUUACUUUAGUUCUGUAUCAUUUCCGUGUGUCAGCAAUGAAGCUGCAUUUUGAGUUAUUCCCGUGUGUUGUGAGUUCUGCACUUUGGGUCCUCUUCCUGCCUGCACACAGCCAAAACAUGACAGUAGCAGGACAAGAAUACAUAAAAGAUUGCCUGCCUCCAACAACAGGUCACCGAUCAAAGAAAGAAAGACAGAGCAAAAAUGUGGUGCCGCCUGAGGAUAGUGAGGAAAGCAAAUGAACAUGAAACGUAACACACAUACUGCCUGUAGGAAGGCGUUUGAAGGAAACCUGCACUUGAAAGAAAAUGUUUCUAAACUAAAAAGCUGCAACAUUUUUACAUUUGCUGAAGUGAAUGCAGGCACAGAGAGCGUAAAUAUAUGCAGGACCGGUCUAUAUAAACCUGUUCUGUCCGUGUGGAGCCUGGACUGCUGUUGGCAUGCUGUGUAGCAGGAGGUUUCUCCUGCAACAAUGUAAGGGAUGUAGGCCAGCAUGAUCUGAUCAUCACACAACACACCAAACCCUAACCCCCAACUCCCCCCCUAACCUAAUCACAUCCUAAACUUCACAACACUAACCCCCUAAGACAUAGGUGUCAAACUCUGGCCCACGGGCCAAAUUUGGCCCGCAGCCUAAUUACAUUUGGCCCGCAAAGCCAUACAAAAUUACUAUUAGAGCUGGCCUGCCAGUAUCAUACAGUGCAUGUACUGCUAAUACUACAAUUCCCAGAAUGCUCUGUUGGUGUUUUGGCGCGUCAGUCAUGACAGGACCAUUAGCACCCUCUCCUCUGUUGACCAUAGUCAUAGCAACCACGCAAAUCCUGCCAUGCUACCGAUCCCAAAAUGGAAAAAAGAAGGGCAGAAAACAGGAGCUUUCUGGACAGGUGGGAGAAUAUGAUGGAAAUUUGAUAAAUGAUCAAAUUUAAUUCAGAAGGCUGCAAAUACAUUUUUUAUUUAAGAAAUGAAUUCCACUGAUGUGUUAUUUAAUUAAUUAUUUGAUUUCAGCAAAACUUGUUUGAGUCCAUAAGAAAAGAUUCCUUGUUAUAUUUGGAGGAAGAUGUUUUUUCAAUGAAUAUUAAUGUUAGCCCGCGACUUUGAUCCAGUUUUGAAUUUUGGCCCACUGUGUAUUUGAGUUUGACAGCCCUGC